UAUUUUAUAUUUUUUAAUUAUCAUGACUUUUUUUGUUAAGUCACAGAAAAAUCUGGAUUCGAAAAUAUGUGACGUCAUUCACAUUUAGAGUUCACACUGUACACUAGUGUACGUUAGUGUACACUAGUAUACGCUAGACAUCCCAGCUGCCAACACUAUAUUUUCAGUGAGGAGAAGGAUUUCUUCGUCUUCGAUGAUCAGACAAAAGGUUUAAAGGGUACCUAUUGUGAAUCGGACAUUCCACUCAGUAAUAGCGCAAGGACAAAACAUUGUUGGGAAUUAGCUAAAUUCUUCCGUGAUUAUUCAGGACUGUAUAGAAUUCCGUACUCCAUAAACUGCACUCAGACCCGUAUCUGUCCAGUUGGAUCCCCGGACUCCUAUAGGCUUAGCUGAAGAUCUGCAUGUUUGUCGCUUAACCUCAGAAUUUAAUUAAAAGGUGAGAUUCAGUUAUUGGUGGAUUUAAGACUUACGGAUUCCCAGAUUUUACACUUCAACCCCGUCAUCUUCAAAAAUUUACAAUUUGAUCUCACGAGUUUAGCCGCUAAAUUCCUAUAAAGGCGCUUAGCCGGUUAUUCAAAAAAAAUGUGCCAGCGUUGUAUUUCUAAAUGUACUGUAAUAGUUCCAAUUCUAAGAAAAAACUGAAUAGGGAAAGAAAGGUAAAGAUUUUAAUAUUCAGGGGCGUAUACAGUAUUUUUUCCAGGGGGGAGGACAAAACCUUUAAAGUUUUUUAUGG